rnacentral:rRNA from 1 species
CGCCUUGCCAGCCCGCUCAGAAACUCAAAGGAAUUGACGGGGCCCGCACAAGCGGUGGAGUAUGUGGUUUAAUUCGAUGCAACGCGAGAACCUUACCUGGUCUUGACAUCCCGGAGACCCUUAGGAAACUAGGGGGUGCUUCCAUCUGGAAGAAUCUGGAGACAGGUGCUGCAUGGCUGUCGUCAGCUCGUGUCGUGAGAUGUUGGGUUAAGUCCCGCAACGAGCGCAACCCUUGCCUUUAGUUGCCAGCAGUUCGGCUGGGCACUCUAAAGGGACUGCCGGUGUUAAACCGGAGGAAGGUGGGGAUGACGUCAAGUCCUCAUGGCCUUUAUGACCAGGGCUACACACGUACUACAAUGGCCGAUACAAAGGGCAGCGACACUGCGAGGUGAAGCCAAUCCCGUAAAAUCGGUCUCAGUCCGGAUUGGAGUCUGCAACUCGACUCCAUGAAGUUGGAAUCGCUAGUAAUCGGUGGACUUCACGCACUGCCACGGUAGAAUACGUCCGGUCU